CCUACGGGAGGCAGCAGUCGAGAAUCAUUCACAAUGGGGGAAACCCUGAUGGUGCGACGCCGCGUGGGGGAAUGAAGGUCUUCGGAUUGUAAACCCCUGUCAUGUGGGAGCAAAUUAAAAAGAUAGUACCACAAGAGGAAGAGACGGCUAACUCUGUGCCAGCAGCCGCGGUAAUACAGAGGUCGCAAGCGUUGUUCGGAAUCACUGGGCGUAAAGGGAGCGAAGGCGGUUUCGUAAGUCGUGUGUGAAAGGCGCGGGCUCAACCCGCGGACGGCACAUGAUACUGCGAGACUAGAGUCAUGGAGAGGGAACCGGAAUUCUCGGUGUAGCAGUGAAAUGCGUAGAUAUCGGGAGGAACACUCGUGGCGAAGGCGGGUUCCUGGACAUUAACUGACGCUGAGGCACGAAGGCCAGGGGAGCGAAAGGGAUUAGAUACCCCAGUAGUC
rnacentral:rRNA from 1 species